AGUAAAGUCAGCUAAUUCAAAGCUUUUGGGCCCAUACCCCAAACAUGUUGGUUAAAAUCCUUCCUCUACUA
rnacentral:tRNA from 1 species